UGGUAGUAAAGCAUUUGUUUUCUCUAGUUAAUGAACCAAUAUCUGAUAGGUCAGUAAAGAUCACAUGAUCGUCAUGCGUGGACAGAACCAAUAUCUGAUAGGUCAGUAAAGAUCACAUGAUCGUCAUGCGUGGACAGAACCAAUAUCUGAUAGGUCAGUAAAGAUCACAUGAUCGUCAUGCGUGGACAGAACAAUGGAAUAGCUUAGACAAUACAUGUAUUUUAUUGAUGUAGUAUAUUCUACAUUUCUUCCCAUUUUAUUUUCCUGCUCCACCCCCCCCAUCGUCUCCCAGCUGUCUAUAUGUAUGUAAUCCUGCUACUUUUCAUCAGUCAUUAUAAACUGGGUGGUUCGAGCCCUGAAUGCUGAUUGGCUGACAGCCGUGGUAUAUCAGAUGACGAAUCAAAGGAAUUACUAGUUUGUUGUAUGUAAUCCUGCUACUUUUCAUCAGUCAUUAUAAACUGGGUGGUUUGAGCCCUGAAUGCUGAUUGGCUGACAGCCGUGGUAUAUCAGAUGACGAAUCAAAGGAAUUACUAGUUUGUUGUAUGUAAUCCUGCUACUUUUCAUCAGUCAUUAUAAACUGGGUGGUUUGAGCCCUGAAUGCUGAUUGGCUGACAGCCGUGGUAUAUCAGAUGACGAAUCAAAGGAAUUACUAGUUUGUUGUAUGUAAUCCUGCUACUUUUCAUCAGUCAUUAUAAACUGGGUGGUUUGAGCCCUGAAUGCUGAUUGGCUGACAGCCGUGGUAUAUCAGAUGACGAAUCAAAGGAACUACUAGUUUGUUGUAUGUAAUCCUGCUACUUUUCAUCAGUCAUUAUAAACUGGGUGGUUCGAGCCCUGAAUGCUGUUUGGCUGACAGCCGUGGUAUAUCAGAUGACGAAUCAAAGGAAUUACUAGUUUGUUGUAUGUAAUCCUGCUACUUUUCAUCAGUCAUUAUAAACUGGGUGGUUUGAGCCCUGAAUGCUGAUUGGCUGACAGCCGUGGUAUAUCGGAUGACGAAUCAAAGGAAUUACUAGUUUGUUGUAUGUAAUCCUGCUACUUUUCAUCAGUCAUUAUAAACUGGGUGGUUUGAGCCCUGAAUGCUGAUUGGCUGACAGCCGUGGUAUAUCAGAUGAUAAAUCAAAGGAAUUACUAGUUUGUUGUAUGUAAUCCUGCUACUUUUCAUCAGUCGUUCUGUUAUACACUCCACUUCCUUCACUACCUAGCCUGCAUAAUGCUUUCAAAAAUGUUUUGUUAACAGCAUUCAUUGUCCUCUUCGUCACCGUGCUGUAGCCUAAUUAAUACGGGUAUCUUUACCGGUGAGAGUGGGGUCUAUUUGUGGUGGAGAAUGUGCUGGGUGCCCGUACAGGAGACUUAUUAUUGCUUAUUGAAGACUCAUCAAGCCUACUAGGUCUUGUUUUCUGUUUGUCAAGAACGUGUUUUUUCCGGACUCUUCUGUCUGUCUGUGUCGUCCUGCCGUCUGAUGUUACCGUGGCGACGGGAGAGUGGUCGAUAAACCCUGACGGUGAGGGUGAUCCGUCAUAAUACAAGUAGAUUGAU